CAAAAGAACACUGAGAAUGGGGAACAACACAAAUAGAUUGCACUUUGCUUGUCCCUACUUAGUUCUCAGACUAGUUAUAGCACACUUGUGCAAUUUCUGAAAGGACAUCUUACCAUCUGCAUCUCAGGCUGAUCACACCUAAAAGAGCAGUCAGGAUCUAACAUUCAGAUACGUCUUCUCUACAAGAAAGGUCCCUCUUUAUAAUUGUGCCUAGAGGCAUUAUUGGUUGCAUCUCACUGACAAGGCCAACUUCAGCUAUGGAAAUAGCAGGGUGUUACAGACUUUUAUGCACCAUGCUCCUCAGCACAUGAUGACCCCGCUUUGUGACUUUACUUGGUCUUCGUUUUUGUGGCUGAGUUGCUGCUGUUCCUAUUCCGCUUCCACUGUGGAAUAUCUAGGGAUGAAAUUUCAUGAAUUGAUUUAUUGCAAAGAUGGCAUCCUAUCACAGUACCACGCACCGAGCUCUUAAGAACGACUCAGCAUGGCUAUAUCCUUGAUUUUAUACACUUGUGGUUAUGGGUCUGAUUGGAACACCUGAAUUCAAUAAUUAAGAGGUGUGUCCCAAUACUUGUGUCCAUAUAAUUCUGGGGUGCCCAAAAGGUCGAUUCUUAGAUGUUGCAGAACUACAACUCCCAUGAUGUGUUGCAAUGCUUUAAAAUGACAAAACAUCAUGGAAGUUAGUUUUAAAUCAUCUGGUAAUCUACCAUUUGGGCACCCCUCAUGUAUGAUAUUUCUCAUACCGAGGGAACUUGCCAGCAUUUUCUAUCUGCACUGCCCCUUUGAAUGAUACCAGACUAAAAUGCAAAUUGUAUGGGUUCCUGUCUAAUGACAUAUGUGAGCUUGAGACCUUUGUUGGGACUCCUCCUAUGGAGAGCUAUUUAAGUUAUCUGUAUUGUACCUGGUUUUAGUUUUUCUUCCACCGUGAGCACAACAAUAAAGUGGUUAUGGUGCAAGGAGUUUCUCUUUAAUACUUGCCCUGUAUUUUGCACACAUCACAGAUCACAAAGCACAAUCUAAUCAGGUGAUGUAAUUUUUAGCUUCUUUUAGUUUUUUAAGAUGAGAAUUUGUUUAUUGAAAAUAACCUUUUACCCUUUUUUGGUAGGUAAUUUUAGUUUCUAAAA